CUACGUGCCAGCAGCCGCGGUAAUACGGAGGAUGCGAGCGUUAUCCGGAAUCAUUGGGUUUAAAGGGUCUGUAGGCGGGCUUGUAAGUCAGAGGUGAAAGCGCUCAGCUCAACUGAGCAACUGCCUUUGAAACUGUUGGUCUUGAAUGGUUGUGAAGUAGUUGGAAUGUGUAGUGUAGCGGUGAAAUGCUUAGAUAUUACACAGAACACCGAUAGCGAAGGCAUAUUACUAACAAUUAAUUGACGCUGAUGGACGAAAGCGUGGGGAGCAAACAGGAUUAGAUACCCUGGUAGUCCACGCUGUAAACGAUGUCGAUUUGGGGGUUGAGCUUUGAGCUUGGCGCCCGUAGCUAACGUGAUAAAUCGACCGCCUGGGGAGUACGGCCGCAAGGUUAAAACUCAAAUGAAUUGACGGGGGCCCGCACAAGCGGUGGAGCAUGUGGUUUAAUUCGAUGCAACGCGAAGAACCUUACCUACUCUCGACAUCCAGA
rnacentral:rRNA from 1 species